rnacentral:rRNA from 1 species
AGUGAACGCUGGCGGUAGGCCUAACACAUGCAAGUCGAACGGCAGCACAGUAAGAGCUUGCUCUUACGGGUGGCGAGUGGCGGACGGGUGAGGAAUACAUCGGAAUCUACUUUUUCGUGGGGGAUAACGUAGGGAAACUUACGCUAAUACCGCAUACGACCUACGGGUGAAAGCAGGGGAUCUUCGCACCUUGCGCGAAUGAAUGAGCCGAUGUCGGAUUAGCUAGUUGGCGGGGUAAAGGCCCACCAAGGCGACGAUCCGUAGCUGGUCUGAGAGGAUGGUCGGCCACACUAGAACUGAGACACGGUCCAGACUCCUACGGGAGGCAGCAGUGGGGAAUAUUAGACAAUGGGCGCAAGCCUGAUCCAGCCAUACCGCGUGGGUGGAGAAGGCCUUCGGGUUGUAAAGCCCUUUUGUUGGGAAAAAAAAGCAGCAGGUUAAUACCCCGCUGUUCUGACGGUACCCAAAGAAUAAGCACCGGCUAACUUCGUG